rnacentral:rRNA from 1 species
GUGUGGAAUAUUGGACAAUGGGCGAAAGCCUGAUCCAGCCAUGCCGCGUGUGUGAAGAAGGUCUUCGGAUUGUAAAGCACUUUAAGUUGGGAGGAAGGGCAGUAAGUUAAUACCUUGCUGUUUUGACGUUACCGACAGAAUAAGCACCGGCUAACUUCGUGCCAGCAGCCGCGGUAAUACGAAGGGUGCAAGCGUUAAUCGGAAUUACUGGGCGUAAAGCGCGCGUAGGUGGUUUUGUAAGUUGGAGGUGAAAUCCCCGGGCUCAACCUGGGAACUGCCUCCAAAACUGCAUGACUAGAGUACGGUAGAGGGUAGUGGAAUUUCCUGUGUAGCGGUGAAAUGCGUAGAUAUAGGAAGGAACACCAGUGGCGAAGGCGACUACCUGGACUGAUACUGACACUGAGGUGCGAAAGCGUGGGGAGCAAACAGGAUUAGAAACCCCGGUAGUCC